rnacentral:rRNA from 1 species
GUCGGGAAUCUUGGGCAAUGGGCGCAAGCCUGACCCAGCGACGCCGCGUGAGGGAUGAAGGCCUUCGGGUCGUAAACCUCUGUCAGGAGGGAAGAACGUCCGUGAGAUGAAUACUCUCGCGGGUUGACGGUACCUCCGAAGGAAGCGCCGGCUAACUCCGUGCCAGCAGCCGCGGUAAUACGGAGGGCGCAAGCGUUGUUCGGAAUCACUGGGCGUAAAGCGCGUGUAGGCGGCCGCGCAAGUCGGAUGUGAAAUCCCGAGGCUCAACCUCGGAACUGCAUUCGAAACUGUUCGGCUAGAGUCCCGGAGAGGAUGGCGGAAUUCCCGGUGUAGGGGUGAAAUCCGUAGAUAUCGGGAGGAACACCAGUGGCGAAGGCGGCCAUCUGGACGGUGACUGACGCUGAGACGCGAAAGCGUGGGGAGCAAACAGGAUUAGAUACCCGGGUAGUCC